rnacentral:rRNA from 1 species
UACGAAGGGGGGCUAGCGUUGCUCGGAAUCACUGGGCGUAAAGGGGUGCGUAGGCGGGGUUUUUAAGUCAGGGGUGAAAUCCUGGAGCUCAACUCCAGAACUGCCUUUGAUACUGAAGAUCUUGAGUCCGGGGAGAGGUGAGUGGAACUGCGAGUGUAGAGGGUGAAAUUCGUAGAUAUUCGCAAGAACACCAGUGGCGAAGGCGGCUCAC